UACAGAGGUCUCAACCGUUGUUCGGAUUCAUUGGGCGUAAAGGGUGCGUAGGCGGCUUUGCAAGUCGGAUGUGAAAGCCCUCGGCUCAACCAAGGAAGUGCAUCCGAAACUGCAGGGCUUGAGUACUUAAGAGGAUCGCGGAAUUCCCGGUGUAGAGGUGAAAUUCGUAGAUAUCGGGAGGAACACCAGUGGCGAAGGCGGCGAUCUGGGAAGAUACUGACGCUGAGGUGCGAAAGCGUGGGGAGCAAACAGG
rnacentral:rRNA from 1 species